CAUGCUCAUCAUGAAUAUCAUCAAUCAAAAUCUUCUGGGAAAGAUAUACAUGCCCAUAAUGUAUACUAAAUUUAUUCUAAGUCAAAAAUAAAUAAAUUUUGAUCAAGGUUAGGGAAAAUGUACUGGAUAUUUGGUAGACUGUUCUGUAUACAAUUACAAACUUGGUCAAACUGCAUUUUAUAAUUCCGAAGUGAGCGAGUACGGCUUGAAGCAGCAACAUGUAUGCUGAGGAGAUCUAGCUCUAGCUACUGGUAGCAGUUAUGUUUUGUCUGAAUUAGUGCGUGGUAGGGCUAGCGUAGCUGCUGCUGCACAUGAAAGCGUGAGGACAUUCAGGAGGAGUCUGCGGGCGUGCACAUGGAAUGGAAUUCAAUAAUAGCAAAAAAAAAUAAAAAAAAUGGAAUGGAUGAAGACGACACGUCGAUGUUAAAUGCUUUGGCCUACUUCAAGGAAGAAAUCAUCGCAUUUGGAAAGCUCCCAGGUUGGGUUUGGUUGUUGCAUUUUAUUUUUUGUUUUUUGUUUGGCAGAGCGAGAUCGAAGACGACAAAUUAAUGAAAUAAUCGAUCCAUCUACUAAGCCGGCCAGCUAAUUGUAAGCUCCUCUGUUGCUGAACUGAGAACAGAACAAGGCCACGUCCCCACAAGGCAGCGUACGUAGCGAGUGAGGCCACACAUCCUGUAAACGGAACGGAUUGAGAGGGUGAUUUGACAUUAACUGUCACGGAGUUAACAAUAGUUAAGACGCCGACGGUGGAUGUUGGUGGAUUUGUUGCUAGAUGCAUGAUCAGUCGGACAACAAAUUAAUUAAGAUCUGUUUAAUUACUCAGAAAACAAUGGGUGAUAGAUGGAGCAAAUUGGUGAAAGAUUACGAAUUAAGGAGAAACAUAGGAUAUGAACCAAACAUGCACGCAUGCAUGCAUGGCCUUGGCUAGCUCCGCAUCACCUGGACAGAGUGCUCAUUUGCUACUCCCUCCUAUC
rnacentral:lncRNA from 1 species